GACGUGGUGGCCUAACGGUUAGCGCGUUGGACUCCGGAUCGAGUGGUCCGGGUUCGAGAGCAAGAAUCUUUAAUUUCACAGUGCCUCCGUCGCGGCA